UCCCGUGUGGCUCAGUUGGUAGAGCAUGGUGUUUGCAUCACCAGGGUUGUGGGUUCGAUUCCCACCGGGGGCC
rnacentral:tRNA from 1 species